AACGAAGAUUGUAAAGAUGAAAGUAGAAGGUGGGAGAUUGUAAAGAUGGCAGUGGAAGGUGGGAGAUUGUAAAGUUGACAGUGGAAGGGAAGAGAGAUUGUAAA